rnacentral:rRNA from 1 species
AUGGCUCCCAAGAAGAAGGCGGCCACGGCGGUCGGUUCGUCGGGAGCCAAGCGGCCCGUACCGGUGCGGGCGAGUAGCGGGCCGGUCGCGGACAGGACCCGAGGCGCAGCCCGCGAGCCCCAACAUCGCUCUAGCAGUCAGAGCCUGGCGAGCUGCGUCGUUCGUACGCAAGAUGGCGGGCCGCACACUGCAAAAUCCAGAGACGGAGCUGGGCCCCCUGCAGGCGGCGCGGGGCCCUCCGGGGUCACCGCCGUGCCACCUACGGGCGGCGCGAAGACCUCCAGGAUUCACACCCCGGUCCCCACAGCAUGCUCUUCCCAUGGUGUGCGCGACGAGCAGCGUCACCACGCCGGUGGCCCUGGGCACCACCGUGGGAAGAGCCCUGUGCAUCAUCUGCGAGACAAAGGAGGCCAGCAUGCCCGCCGAAGUGCUGGCGGAAAUGGCACGCAGCCGCUGGGCCGUGAUAGAGCUCCUUCUAACGUGGUUAGAAGUCGAAGCGCGCCACGGUCCACGCAGCUCUCGCCACCACCCACGCCAGCAGAGGCUUUGGCACGCGCGCAGCUGCUCCUCGACUUCCCUCCUGCUGCGGAGAAGCUCGAUGAGUGGAGAGCCACCAUCCAGAUCCUCGUCGCCGUCGCCAAUAAAUAUGAUCCGCGACCGGCGGGGCCCUCGGGCCGGCGCUCCGUCGAGCCGCCACAUGCCAGCGGUGGGAGGACCGGGGGAGCUGCAGCCACAGUACACUCUCCUCCCCCGCGCGAGUUGCUGCUGGUGCCGGUCCAUCGUGACGACGCACGUGAUAACAUUUCCAUAGCGUCGUCCGACCCACGGACCCACCGCGACCAGCUCCAAGUUCUUCAAGAACGAGCCCAUGAAGAUGCUCGAACCACCAUCGAGCGCCGGCACGAUACACGCCACUAG